rnacentral:rRNA from 1 species
UUUUAUGGAGAGUUUGAUCCUGGCUCAGGAUGAACGCUGGCGGCGUGCCUAAUACAUGCAAGUCGAGCGAACGGACGA